rnacentral:rRNA from 1 species
UCCGGUUGAUCCUGCCGGCGGUCACCGCUAUUGGGGUUCGAUUAAGCCAUGCGAGUCGAGAGGGUUCGGCCCUCGGCAUACGGCUCAGUAACACGCGGAAAAUCUGCCCUUGGGAAGAGGAUAAUCUCGGGAAACUGAGGAUAAUACUCUAUAGGUCUAGUCUGCUGGAACGCUUCUAGACUCAAAGCUCCGGCGCCCAAGGAUGAUUCUGCGGCCUAUCAGGUUGUAGUGGGUGUAGUGUACCUCCUAGCCUUUGACGGGUACGGGCGUUGAGAGACGUAGCCCGGAGAUGGAUUCUGAGACACGAAUCCAGGCCCUACGGGGCGCAGCAGGCGCGAAAACUUCGCAAUGCGCGACAGCGCGACGAGGGAACCCCAAGUGCUUAUGCUUUGCAUAAGCUGUUUAUUUGCCUAAAAAGCAUUUAGAGUAAGGGCUGGGUAAGACGGGUGCCAGCCGCCGCGGUAAUACCCGCAGCCCGAGUGGUGAUCAUUAUUAUUGAGCCUAAAGCGUUCGUAGCCUGUCUGUUAAAUCCUUGGGUAAAUCGGCCAGCUUAACUGUCCGAAUUCCGAGGAGACUGGCAGACUUGGGACCGGGAGAGGUCAGAGGUACUCUUGGGGUAGGGGUAAAAUCCUGUAAUCCUAAGAGGACCACCAGUGGCGAAGGCGUCUGACUAGAACGGAUCCGACGGUGAGGGACGAAGCCCUGGGGCGCAAACCGGAUUAGAUACCCGGGUAGUCCAGGGUGUAAACGCUGCAGACUUGGUGUCGGGAAUCCUACGAGGGUGCCCGGUGCCGGAGAGAAGUUGUUAAGUCUGCCGCUUGGGGAGUACGGUCGCAAGACUGAAACUUAAAGGAAUUGGCGGGGGAGCACCGCAACGGGAGGAGCGUGCGGUUUAAUUGGAUUCAACGCCGGACAACUCACCGGGGGCGACGGUUACAUGAAGGCCGGGCUGAAGACUCUGCCUGAUUUUCCGAGAGGUGGUGCAUGGCCGCCGUCAGUUCGUACCGUAAGGCGUUCUGUUAAGUCAGAUAACGAACGAGACCCUCACUCUUAAUUGCCAAUAUGUCCUCCGGGAUAUAAGCUACAUUAAGGGGACCGCCAGUGCUAAACUGGAGGAAGGGGAGGUCAACGGUAGGUCAGUAUGCCCCGAAUCCCUCGGGCUACACGCGCGCUACAAAGGACAGGACAAAGGGAUCCAACCCCGAGAGGGGAAGGUAAUCCUGAAACCUGCCCGUAGUUCGGAUUGAGAGCUGUAACUCGCUCUCAUGAAGGUGGAUUCCGUAGUAAUCGCGGGUCAACAUCCCGCGGUGAAUGCGCCCCUGCUCCUUGCACACACCGCCCGUCAAACCAUCCGAGUUGAGUUUGGAUGAGUAUACCUCACUUUGGGGUGUUCGAAUCUGGGUUCGGCGAGGAGGGUUAAGUCGUAACAAGGUA